rnacentral:rRNA from 1 species
AUGAGCUUUAAAUGGCCGCAGUACCUUGACUGUGCUAAGGUAGCAUAAUCAAUUGGCCUUUAAAUGAGGUCUGGAAUGAACGGAUUUUCGUAAAUCAACUGUCUCUUUCUUAAUUUCUUGAAUUUGCCUUGAAGGUGAAAAUGCCUUCGAUGAGAAAAAAGACGAGAAGACCCUAAGAGUUUUGAUUAUUGAAGGCGCUGUCUUCGCUAUUUUUGCUGGGGCGGCAAAGGAACAUUUAAACUUCCUUUUUUAAUUCUGAAAAGUCAUUUUUUUAAAGGAUUAUUAAACUACCUUAGGGAUAACAGCAUUAUUCUUUUUGAGCUUGUGACCUCGAUGUUGGACUAAGGACCCCUUCGGUGAGCAACCAAAGGUGUUAGGUUCUGUUCGAACUUU